GUCUAACCAGUAGGAACUGACUUGGACAAUGUUUUUUGGGUGUUUUCUAGGAGAAAUGGAACCCCCUGAAACGUCAGGCUUUUUUGGAACUGGCAGCAACUUUCCGUCCUAAAGUUUGAUCCUUGGAGUGAACGAUCCGGGGCAAAGCAACACAACUGGGGACGGAAUUUCACAGUGCAGGAAUAGAAAGGCAGGUGCAGAAAGGCAGAGGACGCUCACGGACGCGCCGCCGUCGGCCGCCCUUCCAGCCGCCCAGAGCCGAACUCCUCGCCGUGCACGUGGCGUUUCCAACCCUGUUUUUGUUGACUCACAAGAGCUACUGUGGAAAUAAGAACAA